GAUGAACGCUAGCGACAGGCUUAACACAUGCAAGUCGAGGGGCAGCACGAGGUAGCAAUACUUUGGUGGCGACCGGCGCACGGGUGAGUAACGCGUAUGCAACCUACCCCAGUACAGGGGGAUAGCCCGGAGAAAUUCGGAUUAAUACCCCAUAAUGAUAUUGAAAGGCAUCUUUUGAUAUUUAAAGUUUCGACGGUACUGGAUGGGCAUGCGUGACAUUAGCUAGUUGGUAGGGUAACGGCCUACCAAGGCUUCGAUGUCUAGGGGUCCUGAGAGGGUGAUCCCCCACACUGGUACUGAGACACGGACCAGACUCCUACGGGAGGCAGCAGUGAGGAAUAUUGGUCAAUGGGCGUAAGCCUGAACCAGCCAUCCCGCGUGAAGGAAGAAGGCGCUAUGCGUCGUAAACUUCUUUCCAGAAGAAGAAACCCCCGACGUGUCGGGGCUUGCCGGUACUCUGGGAAUAAGCAUCGGCUAACUCCGUG
rnacentral:rRNA from 1 species